rnacentral:rRNA from 1 species
UUAAUUGAAGAGUUUGAUCAUGGCUCAGAUUGAACGCUGGCGGCAGGCCUAACACAUGCAAGUCGGGCGGUAACAGGGGGAAGCUUGCUUCUCUGCUGACGAGCGGCGGACGGGUGAGUAAUGUAUGGGGAUCUGCCUGAUGGAGGGGGAUAACUACUGGAAACGGUAGCUAAUACCGCAUAAUGUCUUCGGACCAAAGCGGGGGACCUCAGGGCCUCGCGCCAUCAGAUGAACCCAUAUGGGAUUAGCUAGUAGGU